rnacentral:rRNA from 1 species
AUUGAACGCUGGCGGCAUGCCUUACACAUGCAAGUCGAACGGCAGCAUGGGUGCUUGCACCUGAUGGCGAGUGGCGAACGGGUGAGUAAUGCAUCGGAACGUGCCCUGAAGUGGGGGAUAACGUAGCGAAAGUUACGCUAAUACCGCAUAUUCUGUGAGCAGGAAAGAGGGGGAUCGCAAGACCUCUUGCUUUAGGAGCGGCCGAUGUCGGAUUAGCUAGUUGGUGGGGUAAAGGCCUACCAAGGCGACGAUCCGUAGCGGGUCUGAGAGGAUGAUCCGCCACGCUGGGACUGAGAACCGGCCCAGACUCCUACGGGAGGCAGCAGUGGGGAAUUUUGGACAAUGGGCGCAAGCCUGAUCCAGCCAUGCCGCGUGAGUGAAGAGGGCCUUCGGGUUGUAAAGCUCUUUCGGUGGGGAAGAAAUUGCUUCGGCUAAUAUCCGGAGUAGAUGACGGUACCCGCAUAAGAAGCACCGGCUAACUACGUGCCAGCAGCAGCCGCCG